UGGGGAAUUUUGGACAAUGGGCGAAAGCCUGAUCCAGCAAUGCCGCGUGUGUGAAGAAGGCCUUCGGGUUGUAAAGCACUUUUGUCCGGAAAGAAAUCCUUGGCUCUAAUACAGUCGGGGGAUGACGGUACCGGAAGAAUAAGCACCGGCUAACUACGUGCCAGCAGCCGCGGUAAUACGUAGGGUGCAAGCGUUAAUCGGAAUUACUGGGCGUAAAGCGUGCGCAGGCGGUUUGCUAAGACCGAUGUGAAAUCCCCGGGCUCAACCUGGGGAACUGCAUUGGUGACUGGCAGGCUAGAGUAUGGCAGAGGGGGGUAGAAUUCCACGUGUAGCAGUGAAAUGCGUAGAGAUGUGGAGGAAUACCGAUGGCGAAGGCAGCCCCCUGGGCCAAUACUGACGCUCAUGCACGAAAAGCGUGGGGAGCAAACAGGAUUAGAUACCCUGGUAGUCCACGCCCUAAACGAUGUCAACUAGUUGUU
rnacentral:rRNA from 1 species